AACGUAGGUGGCGAGCGUUAUCCGGAUUUACUGGGCGUAAAGCGUGUGCAGGCGGGUGGACAAGUGGUGUAUGAAAUCGCCAGGCUAAACCUGGCGCGGUUAUGCCAGACUGUCUAUCUGGAGUGCGAGAGAGGGGCGUGGAAUUCCGGGUGUAGUGGUGAAAUGCGUAGAGAUCCGGAGGAACCCCAGAGGCGAAGGCGGCAUCCUGGACCGGCAUUGACGCUGAGGAGCGAAAGCCAGGGGAGCAAACGGG
rnacentral:rRNA from 1 species